rnacentral:lncRNA from 1 species
ACUGCAGCCCUGGGUCCACUGGUCCAUACUCUGACAGAUAAUUAAGAAAGCAGCAGCUUUUUCUAGACGGCUCUUCCUCAUGAUUUGCAUUUUAGCCAGAGGCGACCAGUUAUAAAAAAAACAUGAUGGAAAGAUGGUAAGAAGCCAAUUAGAUGGAUGGAUGGCUGACUGACAGCUCUCUGGUAUUAUGACUCCAGAUUUCAGACUACAUAGCCUGGCAGUUUUCUACAAGAACCAACUUUUUUGCAGGUUGGUAAAGCUGUUAAAUGUGGAACUAUAUAUAGUGCUAUAUAAUUUUUGCAAAGUUGUACAUUUUCCUUAAAUAAGUAUGUAUUCUUUUCAAUCAGGGUUUGCAUUAAACAAGCUUUCACAAUUUAAUCACAACUUGCAUCACUAAAUUUAGCAAUAUUAAAAUUCUAGACAACUUGUGGGCACAUUAGCUGUGCCAGUAGAGAAGUGAUUAAAAAGCUGAGAAUCACAUUGAGCCAGCAGAGAUAAAGUGAACUAAUAAUUAGAAUGUCUGUGCAAAUAUGCCUUUGGAACUUUGAGAUGUACAUUGUUUGGUUUUAAGCAACUGAAAACGUAAGCCCUAUACUUCCUCUCCAUCUCUAGAUCUUACACACAUAUAUUUGCUUAUUAUCCUUGUUCAAGUUUUAAUAUAUGCUUGUGUGUCUGUUACUUGAGCUAAUUUUGAAAUUAAAAUAAAUAAAUAAACAGUUAGGCAGCUUCCAGUUUGGCUGUGAUAUUCUAUAGCUUCUAGCCAAUAGGAGUCAACUCUUCAUAAUAUUGUCCAAUUUGGAAACCUAACCAGUGUUUCUUGUGUGCUGCAUGUUGUGUGUGUACAUAUAUACAAGACACACAAACACACAUGUUUUUGUCAAGCAAACCAUUUGACAUUAGAGUGACACAUUUCUGUCAUUUGAAAUGAGAGAUUUUUCUUUCAAAUUGCAGUGAUACCUCAGAUUGGUUUUGGAUCUUGAAAUACUAAAUGUAGGUAAUUAUUUCACUGUAAAUUGGGGUUUCAGCAAGGAACAUUAUCCAAAUCAGAACUGCAAGCGUAUUUUUUUUUCCACUAUGAGUAAUGGAUAUUCUACAAACUCUGGAUAUGCAUUAAACCAAUGGUGGGUCUGACUGCUUUUAUUUGCUUAAAACUAUACAAUGUACAUUCUGAAGCUCCAUGUACAUCAUUUAAUCCACACUGAUGUUGAAAUCCACAACACAUUUAAAGCAAUACUGAGAGUGUUUUGUUAUGUUAGUAACUCUGUAUUUUUUCACCUGUGCUGUUCUUUGUAUUUUUGCUUUUGCUUUUUCCAUUAUGUAGGAAUAAGAUAGGCUUAGUAUACUUAAAAAAUCAUAAAAAAUAUUCUACCUAUUGAUACUUAGAAAAUUUCAACAGAUGUUUAAGAAAGUAGUAAAUAUAUUGGUUUUCAUUAGAAAAAUUAACAUGUUUCUUAUAGAAAUGAUGAUACCAGUAGAAGCAAAAUGUUUUUGAGGAAUUUUUAUAUAUUUUUUUUUAAAAACUUUUCUUUUUAAUAAUUGAAGUCCUUAUAUAACCAAAAUGCACUUUCACAAUUCAACAUUUUUGUUCCAUUCUCCAUUUCAAAGGGAGACCUACUGAAUAUAAAGUGCCCAAUAAAAUAUUUUUUUAAAAUAAGGAAAGGGAAGAACUGAAAAAUUUGCCAAUUUGUUUGGAUAUACAUGCUCAGUGUCUGCCUGGGUCUUUUUUAUUUCCAUGUCCUCAACUUUCCAUGGCCACUCAUAGCUUUUAUUGACAGCUAUCUCAUUUUUGUAAUCUCUUUCUUUCUUAUGGCACAGUGUUAAUGCACUAUAUUUUUUUAGAAGCUCUAUGGAAAGUUAAUGUCCUUUAAAAAUAAUUAGAAUUGAUUAUAAGGAAGAAUGUAUUUUAGACAAAUUUUAAAAUAAUGACUUCUCUUAUUUAACACAACUUACUUUACUAAAAUAUGCAUUACACAAUUUUUAUUUAAGAGAAAAUGUGAAUAGAGAAAUUGAAAUAAGUUCUGAAAAUACUACAUUGGAAAGCAGACCAAUUUUACCACUGUUCUCUAAAGAAAUAUUUUUCUAAAUAAAAAUAACAUGUUUUAUGAUCAAAACAAAAAGAUUCCUCAUCACAAAACUUGUAGGGUUGUAUCUUGAAAAUUGUAGUAAAAAUGUAGUAAAAGUCAUUGGCUCUAAUCACAGCCAUCACAUUCAUAUAAACUAAUUUGAGUGGCUGAAAUUUGAACAUGAACAAAGAAUGAGAAUAAAGAAAGACAUGUUUUAAAAAUUGUUUUUCUGCUGUGUAUCUAUAUUUCUAAAUAAGUAUUUGGUUAUAGGUUUGCUUUACAAGAUUUAAAUUAGAAGUUUUGUUAGCAUGUAACUAUUAGAGGUCUGCCUUUCAGGUAGACAUCUGCAAACAAUGAUUAAUAAUACAUUUUAGAAUUAACCAAUUUUCUCAACGCAAUUUACACUUACUGAAAAGUGGAAGAAAGGAAAUAUAGGUAAAAAUCACUUACAAUGUUAAUGCUAAAGUUAUUUUCCUGUUUUUUUGUUCCACAACCUCAUUGAUAAAUUUAGAAUAGAUCUUUAUAGCCCUACACAGAGCAGUCAUCUUUGUUCAAUACAUACAUAAGCAUUUUCUAUAAAUAAAAUAAAUAUCUUUUGAUAUAUUUUAAACCAUGUCAAAGAAUAAUUUUUAAGUAGAAACAUUAUAAACCAUGUUAUUAAGGAAUGAUGUUGUUUGUAUACAAUUGCACUUUAGCACUUCACAGGAUUUUCUAACCUCUUAGCCACCAGAAAGACCCUACAAACCACAAGUAGACACACAUUGAGGAAGUAUUUUCCUCCUUUAUUAACUUUUUUUCCAGAAGCCCAAAUAUUACAUAAAAUCUGCUCACCCUUUCUGAUAUGUAAUGGAGUCUUGCAGGGAUUUUUUGACUAAAGAGAGAGAGAAAGAGAGGAGCAGGGAGAUGAGUGCUUAAGGGGCAGAGGUACUGAAAGAAAAGGAAAUCAGCAACAACUAUUUUUUUUUUUUUUUGUAUUGGGGAUUAAGCCCAUGGGUGCAUAAUCACUGAUCCACAUCCCAGCCCUUUUUAAUAUUUUAUUUAGAGACAAGGUCUUGCUAAGUUGCUGAGACUGGCUUUGAAUUUGUGAUCCUCCUGCUUCAGCCUCCCAAGCCUCUGGAAUUAACAGGUGUGAGCCACCACCUGGCAGCAACAAUUUCUUAAACAACUUAGUUAUACUAUGUUCAAAAAUUUCAGAAUUGCAUUAAAAUAAAUGGUUUGAAACACAUUUUAAAAGUCCACUAAAAACUACACUUCCUAAAAACUAUAGAGGUAUAUAUAUAUAUAUAUAUAUAUAUCCACACAGUAGAAAGAAUCUUUCUCCCUCUUCCUUCUUACAUUCAGAUAGUCUAUCAUACAUCCUGUCAAAUGUAUCACUGCCUGUCUUGUGUAACAGCUAACUUUAAGCUUUUCAAAGACAUGGGCUUUAUCUCACUUGUCUUUUUAUUCCUGCACCAACAAUACCGACUCAUAGUAAAGGCUCAAAAUUGAUUGGAAUGCAGAUUUUCAUCUGGCUGCUCAGCUAGGAGUUUGCAUAUCUACACCAGGUAAACCACCUGAUUGAUUGAUUAGUUCCUGGGGCUCAAGUUGUGAAAUGGUCUGCAGCUUUUGCUAUAAUUCUUAAGCACCAAAUAAACAAAGCUGAAGUCUGUAUCGUGGUUGCAAGUUGGAAUGAGCAUUGUGGUAGGUAGAGAACUGCCUAUCCCAUUCCCUGUCAUCACAAUACACUAUCAUCCCCUUCAGUCAUCUGCUGGAAACUGAUCAUUGAUAAAAAUCUACUGAUAAGCAUUUAUUCUAUCAAUGGUUGAGUUCCAAAAUAAUAUGCCCUUCCCAAAGGAAGAUUUCCUGUGUCCAUAGAUAAAUAUGACAGAACAUUGACAAUUUCUUAUCAUUUAAUCCCAUUUUAUUGACUCAAACAAAAUAUCUUUAAAAGGUAAAAUAUUAAAUCUUUAUUUUGAAUCUGUGACACCAUAGAAGUUAAAUAACUUUCCCUAGCUAUAGUGUCUAGAAUGUGGCAAGUAAAAUUUUAACUAAGACCUUUCUGAUUCCAAAUUUCUACCCUUUCCACUAUGCCCAACUUUCUAAAUAAUAACUACCACAAAUAUUAAUGUAACAAUAGGUUCCAAUUUUAAUGCAAGCAGUUUUAUAGAAAAAAACACUUUUGUAUAAGGAAUUACUAGUAUUGUGUACCUUUUACAUAAUACCAACUUUAUUUAUUUUAAUUAUGUUAACAGUCAUGGAUAAACAACAGGAGUUUUCUUAUCUACUGAGAUUCCAUCUACUAGAAAGAGGGGGAAAACGGACACUAACAUAUUCAUAACCAAACUGAGGGAGGUAGGAGGGGAAACAUAGAGAAUAAGAUAAAGCCCUUACUUUUUGGAUCUCAAAUUCUGUUUGAAAAAGACACAGAAAUACCUUCAUACAAAAAGUGAUACACACACUGUAAUGUUCUGUGGGAAUGGAGUUCAGUGACUCCUGGGAGGCUUCCUUUGUGUUCAGUCAUGUUAAGUGAUUACAUUUACACUGACUGAUUUUAGGAAAGAGGAAACCUAAGCCUGGAUACAUAAAGAUGAUUGCCAUCACAUGCACCUAAAGCACGGGUGAAUGCUAGGGGAAGGGUAUGGAGGGAUGAGUUCUUUGGAAAAUAGUCUUGGAAAAUCAGGCCAAGACAAUGUAAAGGAGAUGUUGUCCUACCAGGCUGAGAAGCUUCUCCCUCCUCCUAUUGCUAACAGGAAGUCAUGUCUGAGACAUACAAGGAUGUGCCUGGUUUUGUGAAUGAGAAUGAUAACUCAAUCACAGCAAAACAGAUCAGGCUUAGAAAGUCAACUUUUGGUGACAGAGAGGCCAAUGUGGGACUCCUUCAGUGACAGGGAUGAUAGAAACUGAGCUAACACCAUGACAAUGAAGUACAGAGAUAAAGGGUUUAUUGGGGUAGUCCUAGUGGUCGAAUAUCAAAAAUACAUCACUUCUUUGCAAUUUCUUCUAGUUUUUUUUUUUUUUUUUAAACAAUGGUAACAGUUUCACUUUUAUUAAAUUCAGGGCCCAAAUUUGCUGGAAAUUGCCCAACUUGAUUGUUACUCAUAGUACUCUGUCACCAGGGAAGAGUUGGAGCAAAGGAGAAAAAUGUUUAAUUAUUUUCUUCUCCUUGGGGGAAAAUAAUUAUAUUAAUAUUUAUUUUUCUAUAUUUAGUUUUUCAACAGAAGGUCAUACAUAUGGUGUUUCAUAGUUCACGGCUAGACCCUCACUAUUCCAAUGGUGGGUGUCAUUGCCAGGCUGUGGAAUGGCAAGAGAACUGACUUGAGAAGCAAGACAAUUAUUCAUGCUCCCCCACACACUGUUAUCUCUGGGAACUCUUAAUCAAUGCAGGGUGAGAGCCAGUUAGCAUGACGGAGGUUAGGGCAUCCGGGAUGUUCAGUAAGAGAUGAGAAAUUAAAAUGUGAUUGCUAUUCAAAUUAGAAUAUAAAGUAAAGAGCACAAUCAUGUGGAGGACUAUAAACAAAUACUUACCUACAGUAUCAUUUGCUGGGUUGCAUCUAGUCCUUGAAAUGCCAGGGAAAUUAUAACCUGCUUUGACUAGAGGGAAUGGCUUGGAAGAUGUAUACUUUGUCUCUAUUUUGCUCCUGCAGAUAUGCUGAAGUACAAAUUCUCAAAUGCUGACAAUGUAUCCUAAAAAAACCUGCAUCUAAAAGUUAAAUCCUCUUAUAGAAAAUUACACUAAAAAUAAAAACCUAUGUAAACCAAAAAAAUAAAUUCUCAAUAAUUUUUAAUUGUCUAGUGAUUAUGAAGAAAAUAAGUGAUGAAUCAAAAUUUAUUUUAGUAUGACAGUAAAAUUCAUAUUAAAAGUUUGGAAUUCUCAUUUGGGCCCUAAUCAUGAAACUUGUAAAACAACAACAACAACAACAAAACAAAACAAAACAAAAAAAGAAAACAUUUAAAUGCCUCCUUAAUAUUUAAAAGCAUAGGUUUUCAUUAAAUAAUAAUUUAUUCUAUGGAUAAUUUAAGAUAAUUUUAGUCAUAAAUGUGUUUUAUUUGACUACCCCUGAAGGAUGUUGCUGCUAAUAUAAAAGACCACUGAUUUGAAUUUAUAAACAUUCUAGUUAUCUGAGGCAUUCUGCUUUAUUUUAAUACAUGCCUAUCAGUUCAUAUUUUUUGAAUUGUCUUUUUCAUAAAAAGUUACCUACAAUGUUAAAAUAUUCUAUUCCUUAUUUUCAUCAUGUAGUUUGACUUAUUUCCUUACAAUCUAGUUUCUAAAUAAUGUAGUUAUUUUCACUACUGAGAUUUCUACUGUAACUAGCCCAUGACCUCAGUGUUCAUAGUAUACUACAGUAUCAAAAAUUACAGAACAGUAACAUAUCUUGGAAGUUCAAAUAAAUCUUGGAGCGUUCUUUUCAUAGUGCCUCAAUAUCCCUCCCUGGAUACAGGCAUUAUCACAUAUUGCUUUAGCUCCUUUUCACUUCUAGAUUUCUGGGACAGAGCUGAUAAAAUUCACAUGCCACCAUGAACAUGCUGUGCUCCACAGUGCUUCAGGGGAGACCUUCUAAGCCACUGCCAAUCAGAUGGUGUGAGAAGUAUUGUUUGGGCUCAGCACCAUUGGCUGUCUUUCUGUUCUUCUCAAAAGAGAUUAAAGACAGAGCAGGGAAGCCAGGCCACCACCAACUUCAGGAAAACUGCGCUGAGAAGCGUGUUAGUGAGCAUCACAGGUGCAUCUCUUCUUUUCUGUUCUAUGCCCUUCCUCUUUUUUCUCUCCCUCUUUAUCAUAUGCUUUCAAAUUUGUAUCUUCAAGAAAGAAAAAUAAAGAAAUAUGUACAUAUGUGAGCAAUUUGUAAAAAUGUUUUUAUCUUACAUUUUUACUAUUAAGAGGAAUAACUCAAUUUCCUACCUUUAAAUCAAUAUAAAACAGCUAACUAUGCUUAAUUUUACAAAGUGAAUAAAUCACACAUUAAAAGUUUGAACUGUUAAAGGAGCAUGAAACAUUUUGUUUGUUUGCUGCAUUGUUUUACUUUGAAAAUAGGAGCAUUUCCAAAAAAUGUGUGAUGUGUUGAAGUGAUUAAUUCACUGGACAUUGUUGGUGUUGUUUCAAAUUGCUUUUAAGUGACUCUACAAUGUCAAUUGUCAUUUUUUUUUUUUUUUUUGGCAUAUGACACAAGAAACCUUGCACUUCUUUUUUUAUACUCAUUUAUUUAUUUGUACUUGUUUUCAAUAUACCUGCACAAAACUAUUUUUGUUCAGUAUGCCAAAAAAUAUCCUUUUUCCCAAAAGCUUUCAUUUUCAAUAUUAUGAGUAUAUUAAAAGAUUGCAGUAUUUGUCAAACUGGAGAAAAAUCUCUACUCAUUUUCUUUCUUUUUUUUUUUUUAACUGAGUUCUUACAAAAGUCCAAUCUUAACAACAAAAAAAAUUUUUUCUUAAGUAUGUACAAACACAAAAUGAUAUGAAUUCUUUCUGUUCAAGGCUAUUAUACACUUUUAAAAAAUGUUACAUGCAACUGAAUCUGCAAAUGAAAAAGUAAAAAUCAGAUAAUAUAUUCCACAUGAUUGAAGAAGUCAUUUCCCUAUAAAUAAAUCGCUACCAGCAAUAUGACUAUAACAGGACUUUCACACAAGAUUAUGUACUGAAGCCCAUGUGAGGAUGCAAUUCUCACAUCACUUUCUUUCUUUUUUUUUUUCUCAUUACUUAAACUCAAUGGAAAAAAUCUUGGUUAUUUUGGGACCUGACAACAUUCUGUUUCAUUAUUGUAAACAUAUCAUAUGUGUAUUAAGCACCUUCUAUCCUGUUUUUUUGUCAUUAGCACAAAGUUUUUGAAAACGUACUCUUUUGCUCUCUGUGACCAUAAAUAAAAAUGCAAAUAUAGACACUGAAAUUGAAUGGAAGUAGAAAAUUACGAAGAGGCCAUGAAAAUGAUCAAAAAUACCAAAAGUUUUAUACAUUAUCAUUUAAAACCCCCACAAAAUAUGAAAAUUUAUAUAGAUAGCUUAUACUUCCUAAAACACAUUCAUUGAACCUCAUAGGCAUGUUUACUCUUGUUUGAGAAAUCCUAAAGAGGAUUGAUUGACUGGCAGCUGGACAAUUGUUAAAAAAUGUGUCUUUUUUCACAUCUUUUUUCUUUCAAAAUAUUUAGAAGGUAAGGCAAUCAUUUUAUAAAUAGUUAAAUCUCAAAAUAUAAACAUAAUUUGCAUUUUAAUUUGGGAGUAAAAACUUUGAAUGAUAAAUCUGACAUUCCUGGUUUUUCAUAAUUCUGUUUCAUAAUUCACAUGAUUAUCUGUUGUAGACACAAUGGAUUAUCUACUUUCAUUUUGUUUUAUUUUGGUACCAGAAAUUGAACGUAAAGAUGCUUAACCAGUGAUGCCACAUCCCCAGCCCUUUCUAUUUUUAUUUUGAGACAGGGUCUCACUAAAUUGCUUAAGGCCUUGCUAAAUUGCUGAGGCUCACUUUGAACUUGUGAUCCUCCUGCUUCAGCCUCUAGAGCUGCUGGGAUUACAAGUGUUCAUCACUGCACCCAGCAGAUUAUCUACUUUUAAGUCAUCUUUAAUGAAACAAUGAGGAUGUCUAAAUUUACUUAUUUUAUGCACUCAGUUAUUUUACUCAAAACAAAAAAAAAAUAUGCUCAAUAACAAAAGGUCAUUUAUUGAUAAUCACAGCCUCUUAAAAUGCUCAGAAGAAACAUGACUUAUGUUGGAUUUCCCAAUUUUAUCCUACCAGUGUCUCGGGACAGGACAAUAAGAAUUCAUCACUUAAAUGAGCACUGGAGCCCAUGCACCUCCAGUAAUGUGAGCUUUAUUUGAGUUAAUGUGAUGGAACUGGUAAAAAGGUCAAUAUGAGUUCAUAAUACUUUGCUAGACACAGCACACUUCAUUGUGAUCAUAUAGGCCCCCUUGCUAUUUCUGCUUCAAGAUCUUUUCACUGGAUCUUCUUUUUAUCUAGAAUGUUCUUUCCUCUUAUAGUGUUGCUCCUCAGUUAUCAGCUCCUCAGAGGUGUCUUUCCUGAAUUCCUAUGUAAAACAACACUGCCUCUAUCAGUUCUUCUCUUCUUUUACUCUUAGAGAAUUUGAAGAUUAAAAAAAAUAAUAAUAAAAAUAACACUGUUUCUAGCAAUCAUAAAGUGCCUGAGGAAUACAUUUAUACUACAGCCCAAGAAAAACAUAUAAAGUAGCAGAGAACAAAACUGUAAGAGAAAGUUUAUGAAAUGACACAGAAAGAUUUACAAAAAUGUAGAUACAUCUCUCUGUGUAGCAAUUAUCCAAAUCUAUAGCACUUAAAAAGGAGUGUUCAUUAGGAAGCAUUUGUGGUGGUGUUUUGUUUGCUUGUUUCUGAGAUGGGGUCUUCCUAAAUUUUGCAGCCUGGCACUGAACACACAAUCCUCCUGCCUCAGCCUGCUGCAUUACUGCCAUUUCAGGCUUGUGCCACUGUGUUCAGCUAGGACCAUCUUUUAAUCACCAUAGAUCCUCCUAGAGUUGGCUAGAAACAUCUGACUGAAUUGGAACUACAGAUAUCGGUCAUUCCACUGGAGAAUCAUUGACCAAUCAGAUUCUUAUUCUUAAUAAUUCAAACUGUAAGACCUACAGAAAGAUGACAACUUAUUCAGUGCUAGAGUUCAAGUAGAGAUUAUGUUAAGUUAAAACCAUAGAUGGGCAGGAAUCAUGGGGGGUACAGAAAUUAUGAGUUAAAAAUUAGAAUGUCAGGCAGUCAUAUGAAGACAAGGGAAAAAACAAAGCAGACACUACAGAAAGAGAUAAAAAGAUGAGACAAAAAUACACCAUUUGUCAAUUUCCAAUUUCUCACAUUCAGUGUAAGAAACAUUAGUUCUUGCUAAUGUUUUCUUCUCAACAAUGGAUGUUAGACUCUAAAUUAUCUUAAAAAGGAAAUUCAAUCUUUAUUGGUCCUAAAGAUAAUAGAUGCCAACCAGCUCCACAAUCCCAAGCUAGGGGAAAGAGACUGUACUUUGAAAGAGGGAUUCAAAAACUGGUUUUUACAGUGAGGCACAGUGGCUUACACCUGUAAUCCCAGUGGCUCAGGAGGCUGAAGCAGGAAGAACAUGAGUUCAAAAGCCAGCCUCAGCAAAAGCGAGGUGCUUAGCAACUUAGUGAGACCCUGUCUCUAAAUAAAAUACAAAAUAGGGUUGGGGAUGUGGCUCAGUGGUUGAGUGCCCCUGAAUUCAAUCCCUGGUACCAAAAACAAAAAAACAACACCUGGUUUUACAGUUGUUAACACCUUAUAGAUACCUUGAAUGUGUUAAAGUUGAAGAGGGCAGCUUCUAUGUUUUAUUUGUAUUCUUCUUUUCUUUUCUUUCUUUGUGUCUUUUUUUUUUCUUUGGAGGGCCAAUUUCCAAUGUACUGACAGAUCUCCCUGACCAUGGAGUAAGGACAGGACGUGCCUUCACCUUACCUGAAAACUAGUGAAAAGAGCUUUGAGUUCUUAUGAGCAGAGCUUGAUCUGUGACUACCUGAAGUCAAAUAUACAGCAAACUGCUAUCAAGAGUUAUAUCUGAAAAUCUACAUUUUGAAAGGAAUCAGGACAGUGGCCUUGCCUAUGUACAUGGAGAGAGUUCAAAUGGUAAGUAGCUGUUUUCCCACUCAAAGUUGGCCCAGAAUACAAAGCUUCCUGAGUCCGUCGUGGAAACUUGACUAAGGCAUAGCUUUCAGGAGUUGACAUAAGGUCAUUUAAAAAGAGAUCUUUGCUCAAGAGGGGCUGCCUGAGAUAGAGAUGGGGCCUUAAUAGAAAGAGGCUGAGUCCAGUGAAUGUCCAGGGCCUAAAAGAGGAAUGAUAAACAGGUAGCUAAAAGAAUUCUUAUCAGUUCUCAAGACAUUCAUACAGAUGAAUUUCAUGGCCUUGAUAAAAAGCACCCAAGGAAUAAGCGAUCAAUAAUAAACAGCUGCAAUAGUCAAAGAUAAGCUGUGAGAAAUGACAUCUGGGUCAGGCAAGUAAGAUUUUUUCCCAUCCAUAUCUCUUCCUGGCUACAACUCUGGAGGAAUCAGAGAAUUGACCAACAACCACCAGGAAGGGACCAAGAAUCCUAGGAAAACUGAGUAAAGAGGAUGGCAGUCACCUCAUCUACCUCCAAGGGAUCUCUAGGCCCAAGUGACAGGAAAGGAGUUCCAGGUAUUAGUUUUACUUAGGAUUAGACUUUUCAGUUACAGAUGAAACUGGUCUGGGGACUGCAACAUAACAGAGAACUUUUUCCUACACAUGAGCAAAGCAGGUAAUCAUUCUUCCAGAAACUUUAUAUAGUCUGUCUUUGGUCAGAUUCCUUGGAAGCAGAGCUAAAGUCAAAAUUCAUGGUGCAGUGAUGUUUGAAGGAUAUGCUGUCAGGAAAACAUCUGUGGUCUCAGGACAGGGAAGGUGAAAUAAUUAACAAGAGUGUGAUCUCAGCUGGGACCACCAUCAGUCUUCAGUGGGACUUCACAGGGAGGCUCUGCAGCACUAGGGAAACAGGGUUAGUCCCAUGUCCACUCACUGGCUGAAUUCUGUGGGAAGGUGAGUAGCCAGCAGGAUGAAGGGGGAGCUUGCCCCAUGUACCCUGCCGUGGCAAAGUGAGCAGGCGAGAGAUCUGGGUGGCACUGAUAGAACUCAUUAUUCAUAAGAGAGGUGAGGGAGAAUUUGGCCCACAGAACAAAUUUGAAUAGGGGGAAAAGUAAAGUUGUUUCCUGGUUGUGUCCAGCUAAUCCCAUUCAUGCAGUAAGCAUUUCAGUUACAGUAACUCAUUCUUCUUCCUUGAUGAUUUAAUGCACGUUUCUAUUUUUAAAAAAAAAAAAAUUAAAAACAAUGCCUGGAACAAAAUGGAAAUGUUACAUAGAGAUUUUGUAUUCCCAGCAAGUAGGAAUGGAGAAGGACAUAGAAGAUAUCCUAGCAUAUUGGUGCUGUAAAGAUGAAUGCAGUAUUUCAUUGAUUGAAGCUGUUUGCUAUUUCUAAGUUUUAUGUUUCUGCAGUCAUGAUAAUGAACUUCACAUCUCUUCAGUCAGGGAUGACUCAGAAAUCAUUAUCUGCAUGGAAAUAGAAUGAAAAUAGAGAAAAGUAAGCAACACAAAGGAAGGAGGAGGAAAGGACUUAGGGAAGUAGUGGAGAAUGAAAUCUACCAAGUAUGCUAUGCCCAUGUUCAUAUACCACAAUGAAUAUAGCUUUUGUGUAUAUUUAUAAUGAACCAAUUAAACUAAUAAUACAAAUAGGAGGACAAUUAAUAGAGUAGAACAAGCAGAUCAGGAAGAGGGGAAAAGAGAUAGAUCAAAUCAUGUGAUUUGCUUGUACAAAUAUGGCAUAAUGAUUCCUACUAUUAUGUAUAAUUAUAGUACACCAAUAAUAAAAGCAAAACAGUAUCUGUAGGCAGGUAGGGGAGCAAGUACAUGGUAGGCUUAUGUAAAAUAUGAAAAAUUGUUUUAAUUCAGGCAAUAGUUCAUCUAUCAUACAUUUGUCUUUCCAGAUUUCACAGCAUAAUAAAGAAUUUGUGAAUGAAAGGAACACAAUAUUUCAGAAUAUAUGACGUCCUAGCCUUUUAUGCCAAGUUCAAACUCCACCAAUUUCAAGUUGCUAUGAACCUUGAAUUGUGACAUUUGAGCAAGCAACUCUUUUGGGUAAGACUUCCAUCUUCUAUUCAGUCAGAAGGCCACACCCUGGCUUAAAAGCCAAAGGAAGUGUCUUUUGUUAUUUUAUUCUUGUAUUAAAUGUUGCCUGGUCUGUGCCUUAAAUCAGGUGUUGGGCUCUCCUGAUGGAGGCUGUCAUGGUAUCUAGUGCCCUGAUGGGAGCCUCUUUUUGUUGUUGGUCUUUUCACCAUGAGAAAUCAGGCUAUUCACAAUUUCUGAAACACAAUUGUGUAUUAAGAGAAGCAAACUGAGAGACACCAGAGGCUCUGUAUUCCUUCCUGGUAGCCAACGCUCUUGGGUGCUUUACAGAAACAAAGCUGCAAAGACAGAGCCAUGCCACCCUUAGGAAGCAGAAAAACACAGAUGGCUGGAGUGGUCUGCUUGAGGAAGGGCAGAGAGUGAUACUCACAUGCAGGAGGUCUCUCACUGCAAUGUCUUUUCAUACCUUUAGACAAAUGCUCUGGUGGUACCAGAGCUUAGACAGUCAGUUUGGUUUGGAGAUAAAAGUCAUCCUGUUAAGAAUAUCUGGACUCCAGCCUGGAUCACAGAGAGUCCUCUGAGUGGCAAAAGAGGAUCACACACAAAUCCUAAUUGGAUGACCUGAACGAAAAAGGAGAGAGCCAGAGUUCUAAGAGCUCAGAGAAAUAAGAAGGGAAAAGACCAAGGAGGCAUUGAAAUAUGAAGAUAAAAUCGAUACAGAAUUGCCCAGGAAAUCAAUAAGAGGGAUAAAGGACGUGCAGGGGAUGUGAAAUGUGUGUUCUGUCUCCUGUACGAGUGAGAAAUCUGGCAGCACGUUUUGAACAUGCUGCAAUCCUGUAAUUAAAGCUCGAGGGAGAACAGUAAGAGGGAGUCUCGAUAAUCAAGUGAAAAGAUGGCAUGGCAAUAAGUGACUCUUUGUCAGAAAAACAGUUUCAUAGGCAAAUCUUAAGUUAAACAUGAACUCAUGUACUCAGUCAAAAGACAGACUGGUAACUGUGCCUGUGUGUUUGUGGAAGAAAUCAGGGCUUGAUUCUAGAACCAUAACCCAGCAGCAGCAUCUGUCUUUCAAUAGGCCAGAGUAACCUGUUAGGACAAUUGCCACAAGCCUGACAGUCACAGCCUUGUCUCAGGGUGAACUUUGAAGGAAGACAAGGGCUUUCCAAUGCCCAGUGUAUCUGCCAAGGGACGGAGUAGCCAAGAGUCAAUCUCUCAUGGUUGAAUGCAUUAUAGAAAGCAUAGUAUUUAUACUUGUCCUCUUACACGCAAGAUAGGAAUAAAGCAAUUAGAGAUGUCUAGAAAAGUCAGCAAAAAAACAAUAACAACAACAAUCACAACAACAACAACAACAACAAAGUACUAAGAAGUCUCUUGGUGAUCAGUAGAAAAAAUAUAUGAUAAACUCAAUGAUACUAAGAAUUAUGCUUGAUCAUGGGAGCAGAAUAUGAGACACUGAUUAUUUAAAAAAUGUUUUUAGUUGUUCUAAACUCACCUAAACAGAGGCCGAUAUUCUGCAAGUCCAGGGAAAUCAGACAUAUUAUCUUUGUAAUUAUCUCACUUCUCCAAUUGUCUCCAGAGGUUUUAUUCUCAAAGACCACCAUUUAAGUACAUGGUUCCUUUCCAGCAUUUGUUCAACAUAUGUUACUAAUUAUAAUUAUGUUGAUCUGUUAUGGUUUGGAUGUGAGGUGUUCCCCCAAAACUUCACAUGUGCAACAAUGCAAAAAGGCUCAAAGGAUAAAUGAUCAGGUUGUGAGAGUCUUAACCCAAUCAGUGAAUUGAUUCCUUGAUAGUGGUCACUGAAGUGGUAGGAUGUGGCUAGAGGAGGUGGGAAUUAGGACAUUGGAAUAUAUAAAAUAUAUCAAGUGGUUUGUGCAAGUAGUCACAGCUACUCAGUUGGCUGAUGAGGAGUAGUUCAGGGGCCCAGGAAUGUGAGAGAUGAGCUGGGGCAACAUAGUGAGAUUUCAACCAGGAAAAUGAAUGAAUAAACUAAGUAAUUAAUUAACUAAUAAAAAUAAAUCUCUCAGAAGCCAUAGAUUGAAAUUAUGUUUCUCUUCUUCAAAGUGUUUCAAAGGCAAUUUAUAAAAACACUACUGCUAGACUAUUUAUUUUUGCCUAUUUUCAAAUUACCACUAUUUUUCCAAAAGCGUAUAUUUAGAAUUGAUAAUGAGCAAAAGUUAUUUAAAGCAAAAUUUCAAUGGUUGAAGAUUUGAGAAAAUGACAACAGAGGUAUAAUUUUUUUUUUAUUUCAAUAGGUUUUCACAUCAAAACAGAAAAACUAGUUAGCAAAGCCUAAAAUAUGCAACCAUAUUUACAACAAAACAAUGAUACUGAGAUAUCAUUAGAAACUCUGAAACAGUAUGCAUCAAUACCUGUACUGGAAAAAGAGGAAGCAACAGGCAUCUGAAAUUGCUAACCAAAGAGAAUCUCAAAUGGACUGUGGGAUUUGCUGGAUAGUAUGGUAAGCCACUAUGAAACUGGAAAGUUGUUUCCCUUCUCCUGAAAUGGCUGAAUGCAGGGAACCGAUCCUAGGAAGGUUUGAAAGUGGAUGGAACAGCAUGGCUCCUCUGAGCUUUAGAAAUGAAGCAGUCACAUAGCAUCCUGGGUGGGAGAGGGACAUUGACUUGAUCAAUAAAAAUAAAGGCAAGUGAACAUUGUUACAAAUAAAUGUGGAGAGGAGAAAGAAAGGCAGAAUAUCUCAAAGAGCAUCAGUCCAUAUAUUUAAACACUACAUUAAAACAACAGAGGAGAGAGCUCUUUGAGGGUAGAAAAUCUUUCCUGACUUACUUCCUCCAGUCAUCUGAACUCAUAGUAAGAAUAAUAAUAAAUGAAAGUUAACAACAAAACAGUAUGGAUUCAAAUAUCUUGCUUAGCUGUUGUAAGAUAUAAAAGACAAUAAAGAGCAGGACAGCAUUCCUAUAAACAAUAAGAGCAUGACAUAAACACAUGACCCUAAAUACACGAAAAAUAUUCAAUGAUGUGGUGACCAAAUUUGGGAAACAUUAGGAAUAAGGAAAAAAAUUCAGAAACAAUUGCUAAAUUAAAAGCCUGAAGAGAAUAACUAAACACAACAGAUAAUGCCUGAAGGACAUAUAAGAUAAAAAGGAGGAAUAACAAAAAAAUGAAAUCAAAAGAAAAAAUGUGGGGGAAAAGGUGUCAGUUAUUGAACACAGGCAAAUACUGUCCAUCAUAUGAGUAAAGAAUGUCCAAAGAAAAAUUUAAGCAUGAAACAGAACCAAUACUAGAACAUGCAAUAUAAAAAUAGCUAUUGAAAAAAAGGAAGAACAGUAUUUUGAAAAUUCAUACUUCAGAAAUUUCAUGCCAGAAUGACCAACAGUAAGGCAGACCCAUGAGGAUAAAAUUACUUGGUUUUAAUGGGGGGGAUGUCUGCCUUGAUAUAAAAAAGAGAAAUACUAAUAAAAGAAUAAAAAUUUGAUGAUUAUCAGAUUUUUUUAGACUACAAUGCUCUGUCCUAGAAGAAAAUGGAGUAAUAUAUUUAUGUUAAUAAGGGAAAAAACCGCAUAAAAAUUUUAAUCUACAAAUCUGAUUUUGAAGCAUAAAGAGCACAAAGUUUUUUCAACAUGCAAAAUAUAUCCCUGUUCCUGAGGCUAUUCCGUAUAACAAUUAUUAGACAACCAGUAUAACUAGAAACAGGUUGAUAUAAGUACUGACGGCUGGCAUUUAAUGCAUAGCUACUUACAAAACUAAGACCAAAUGGAAAUUUUUAAAUGAGAGUGAGUAGUAUGCUAGGACCAGAUGCUCAUGACAAAGAAAUGGUACAGAUGUAAACAUGGUAGAGAAACACAUUAGCCAGUGAAAGCACAUGACCAUCUUCAGCAAUUGCAUUGAGAUGACAGUGUUAUAAUGGUGUUUAAGUUUUUUCACAUGUAAUGUGAAAUAAAGAAAAUAAAUAAUUAUGGGAUAUUCUGUUAUCCUCUGAGUCCUUAAAAACUAGGAUUUCUCAUAUGAAGUAGAAGAAACAUAGAUUUUGAUUUUUAAAUGAAAGUAUUAUUUGAAAGUAUGACAAAGUAUCAUUAUGAAUGAAUGACAUUUUAUCUUAAACAUGUCACUAUUCUUUCCAUUGAAAAGUUCUUAAAUAAUGGCCCACUCAAUUAUGCAUUUAGUUUGAGCAUUACCAACAUUGAUAUGGUGGUCUCAAAAUAUCUGAUAAACCACAACUGCAGAGAUAAAGGACUGAUUCUAGAUUCAACACGUACAACAUGUUCCAUAACAGAUAGCAAGGAAUCUCUCCAAGACUUGUUAGAGGGACUCAAGAGACAACUUGAAGAAGCUUCCAAGAUGGAGCAAUUUGGACUUCAAUGAGAAUAAUCAUUGAAAUGAAUUGUAAUCUAGAAGAUACAUUUAAGUCCAUGAAUUUAUAAUGAUAUUAUUUUUAAAAUGGUCACCUUCAGUAGUUGAUAGAAGAAGCCAUUUUAUUGAGAAUUUAUAUAUCUGGUUAAAGAAUGAAGCAUUUAUCCAAUCUUUCCAAUAGAAAUAACACUCAGUAACCAAACAAUAAAUUAGGGGAAGUUUUAUUUAUUAAAACUUUAAACAAAUAAGUGGAAAAUGAAGAAGAAAUGGUAGAAUCAAAUAUCACCAUUUUGAUCUGAAUAGACAUUUCUGAAAAGAGAAAAUAUAAAUAACCAUCAAUUAUAAUUUAAAAUGUUCAAUAGCAUUAAUUAUUAGAAAAAAUACAAACCAAAAUACAAUGAGAGGGCUGGGGAUGUGGCUCUAGCGGAAGCGCGCUCGCCUGGCAUGCAUGCGGCCCGGGGUUUGAUCCUCAGCACCACAUACAAACAAAGAUGUUGUGUCCGCCAAAAACUAAAAAAAAUAAAAUAAAUAUUAAAAUUCUCUCUCUCUAAAAAAAAAAACACACACAAUGAGAUAUCAUCUCAUUUCAGUACAAAUGGUUAUUACUUUUUAAAAAAAGCUAGCAAAGAUAUAGAGGAAAAAAAAAUCUUAUGCAUUGUUGUUGGAAUGUAAUUUAGAGCACCAAAUCCCAUUAAAAUGUACAGUUAAUAUAUGUUAAUCAAAAUUUUAAAAACUAAAAUGAAAUAAAAAGUUUUAAAUGUCACUAUUUUGUAGCUCUCAGUGAGUAAUAAAUGUAGGCAAAGAACUCCUGAAUAGAUACAAACAUCACAAAAAUAGAGAAAGCCAGACAAUAUAUGAUUCCUGGUAAAAAUAAAUAAAUAAAAUAAAAAACACCACAUGCAUGUUUUCCCCUAGAUAUUAAAUCUGAAUCUAAUUGAACUGCUGGAUUCCAAUCUACACAAAUUGCAAAGACAAAGAGAUAAUCCAAUUUUCAUCAUAAGAACUGACAAUUAACAAAAUGCAGAUUAUGAGAAACAACAAAUCAAAUGGUCUGGGUGUUAGAUAAAUUGUAAGCAAAUUAAAGGAUUAGAAGGAGAAACUGUAAAUCUCAAAAGGACUAAUAAUAUAUCAAAUUUUAAAGUGGACAUGAAUAAACUAUAGUAUCUGGGUAGUAUUAAAUUGUAUUCCUUUGCAUGAUAAACAUAAAAAGAGACACAAGAAGUGAAACCAUAGAAAUUAGGAGAGUAGUUGGAUUUAGGGGAAAGGAGUAAGUUGUAAUUAUCAUGGGGGCAUAGAGGAACUUGUGGGAAGAGUGAGAAAGUUGUCAUUUCUUGAUCAAGAGUUGGUUGUUAGAGUAAGAGUUUUAAAAUAGAUUAUAUAUGCAAUUUAAUAAUGUAAUACAUAUAUUUAUAAUAUAUGAUAUUUACUAAAUUUAGAUUUGUUUGAAAUGAUACUUGCCUUACAAUAAAAUAUUAAUAAAAUGUGUUUAUGUGUUAAAGAGAGUUUAAAUAAAUCUCUGUUAAAUAUUUUGAGGUUAAAAAGCAAGAUGUAGUACACUGGUAACCCUGAUUUUUUUUUUUUUUUUUUUUUUGCAUUGCUCACUGUGUAAUUAGAAACAAUUUCAAAGGUUUUCUGCAAAUACUUAAGGAGACUGCAAAACAUUUGAGGUAAC